UCGCCGCUUGCGCGGGCAGUCUUAUUAGAGUUCCCAGCAUUACCUGAUGGCAACUAAUAACAGGGGUUGCGCUCGUUACGGGACUUAACCCAACACCUCACGGCACGAGCUGACGACAGCCAUGCAGCACCUAGUUUCGUGUCCUUGCGGAAAGACCUCUUUCAAGGUCGGUCACUAACUUUCAAGCCCGGGUAAGGUUCCUCGCGUAUCAUCGAAUUAAACCACAUGCUCCUCCGCUUGUGCGGGCCCCCGUCAAUUCCUUUGAGUUUCAAUCUUGCGACCGUACUUCCCAGGUGGAUAACUUAAUGCUUUCGCUUAGUCGCGUACUGUAUAUCGCACACAACGAGUUAUCAACGUUUAGGGCGUGGACUAC
rnacentral:misc_RNA from 1 species